rnacentral:lncRNA from 1 species
GCGGUGUACUGAUGGGGUCCUUGGCGGAGCUGUAAAAGGUGGGAACGGGAGAAUGGCAAAAAAGAGAGAACGUACCUUGUUUGCAUUACUCCGUGGUGACGGGGAUGUGAUGGAGCGGGCUGGGAAGAUGGGUAUAUAUGAUGUCCCCGUGUAUAGUGGUGAUGGGAUGGCUGUGCAGUGCUGCAUUGGUGGUGCGAGGAGGGGUUUGCAUGGAAGAAUAAGAGAACGUAGAAGGAGACAUCCAGACAGGAAGGCUCGGCACAGCCUUGGCCCUCAAGGCGUAUGAGCGGGAUCUGGAUGUGGAGUGGCAAGAGGCCAAGACGAUGGAAAUGGUGCUGGACCAUAGGGCAUUAGUGCAGUAGAAAACAUAGAGAUUGAGAAGGGCCACGAUGUUAUUGGCAGUAAUGGUCCUGUGGUGCUGCCACCAGCAUGGAGGUGGUGUGCUGUCCAUGCAUUGUGGGUGGUGUGGCCGGUGUCCAGUGGAGCCCUGUGUCGUUGCUGGAGUAUAGACUUGUCAAUGUGGGUGUGUGGCAGUGUGUAUCUGGGUCUAUGUACUGGAAAUGUUGUGAAUAACUUAAGGCGGAUGUUGUGAACUAUAUUUUGAGUGCUGUUGUGGUUGUGAUGUUUUGUAAAAUUUUAGAAUUGUUUUUGGUAAGCAUCUUUAUAGAUUUUUUUUUUUAGAAUGUAAAGAUUUUGGAAGUUUAGAGUUUCUAAGGAGUGCU